CCUCUUGUCAGGGAAGGAGGCUGGUUUCACGCCCGAUUAUGCGCGGGGUGGGGUGGAGGGCGGCAGGAGGCUGAGGAGCAGGGCCUGCGGCGGAUGGGGGUGAGGCGGUCAUCACAGGGGCGCGUGGGCCCCAAGCGCAGCUGGAAAGGAGGGCACCCGGCCUUCUUCAGGACAGGAAGCACGUUGCAGAGAGGGGCGUGGAUGGGGCCUCCUGCAGUUACCCUGGUGUCGAGGAGGGCCGGUCGCCACCUCGCUGAACUCGCUGAUCCCCAGGCCGCCCGCCUGCAUCUUGAUGGCCGACUUGAGCUCCUGAUUCUCCCGAAUGAGCCGCACCAGCUUCUUCAGUUCCUCAUUUUCCCGCACCAGCCUCUCGAUCUGAUGCCGAAGCCCCUCAUAACUGCCGCGUCGUGUUUGCCUAAGGACCUGAUCGAUUUUGCCGGCAGGCUCCGGCAAGUGGCGCCCGACCAGGGACCUGAAGGAACACGGUGACGGCCGCUGCCCAGGUGUAAAAGGGAUCCCAAGAAAAAGCCGUUAAGGUUCGUAAAGCAUCACGAAGAGAUUGCUGUCCCCUGGGAACGGUGCCGUGUUCUCAGAUGCGCAAGAAAAACACUCCAAGGAUUGAUGAAAAAAGAAGUAGCUGGACGGCUUAUCUUUUCCUACAAAAACAAAAAAGGGGGGAAUAUGGGAAAACAUUCAGAAGUCUUUCUAAAAUCUUGAAAAAGUUACAAUAAAUAUGGCUAAAAGUAAUUAAAGUAUGUGGGCUAAACAAUUGGGUGUAGGAUGUCCUGCUUGAGCAGCAGAGGAACUAAGGGUGCUGGGCAUGGAGGCCAUGGGGGCAUAGGCUACCGUGGAAACAGAAGAUUGACCCUCUCUGGGGGCACAGCCCCUUCCUCGAUUGCACACCGCAUAUCACCUUGUUUGGCCCCGGAGGAUGGCUGGUUAGCCAGAGAUGGGUAAGAUUCCUCAAGGGAGGAACAACCUAAGACAGGCACAGUCGCAGAGGGGCCAACAGGGUUGGGGCACAGACCCUUACUUCUUCUGAGAGAGGUGUCCUGCCCCCAUGGCUGCAUUGCUUCUCAUGCCCAGCUCAGAUUGGGACCCAGGAGGCAAACAGAGACCUGGCCAAUAGCAGUUGCCCUCCUCCUGCUGUUCUUGCAAAAGACCACUGCCCCCAAUCAUAUGAGGCCUUUGUUUGGUUAUUUCAAGAAUGUGCUCUUUUUAAGUUAAAGAAGGGGGAGCUGCGGGGAGCAGCCCUGAGAAAGGGGUCCUGCUCCCAGGACAUGGCCCUGGGAGCUGCCUUCAUUCAAGGAUUUGUGUAAAACAAACAUAGCUCUCUGUCCCGCCACCCCUGACCUUGAGUAUGUGCUUAAACAAAGAGCAUGGGAUUCCUUGGGCUGCAGUAUGUGUUCCCACAGACUCCUUAUCGUAUGAGAACAUCCUGAGACCAUGUAGGGUACAGGCUACUACGCAAGUUCCUGGUGCCCUUGGAGAGAUAGAACAAGUUACAACAAAGAAGGAGUCAUUUCGUUUGAUGUCCCCCUUUGUUCUGAGAGUGUAUUAAAGGCCACCGCAUAAUCAAGAAAUUUGUCAGUUGCCCUAGAGGCUUCUG